AUCACUUUCUUAAAGGGCAAUGACAAAUUCAAAAUAAGGAAAGAAAUCAAUUUACAGGCAGACUGAUUACUACCAUAAAAGAAAUAGUAAAACCAUUGAGUAAGUGGUUUAGUCUAAGUACAGGAAUAUACUAGUUUUGAAUGGAUUCAAUAAGGCAAAACAAAGAAAGAAAUCAAUUAACCUUAACAGGCGAGUGAAAUCCGAUUUUCACAAAAGAAAAGUUUGAAAUCAGUCACAAAAUUAAAGAUCAAUUAAAUAGGGAAACUUAGCAUAUAAAUAGAGUGCACAAACACUAUGCACGUGAGGCCAAGCCUAUUGGCAAAAGGAAAUAAUAUGCAAUACUAGCACAAAAAUUCAGCAGACAGCAACAUUCGAAACAAUAUAG
rnacentral:lncRNA from 1 species